AAUGGCCUAACGGCUGAACCAGCAACUUGGAAGAAUGAAUAGUGAAAGCUAAUUGCGCCAAACCAUGGUGUGAUAUCGACUCAGUCGAAUAAAAUUCUGGGUGGACAUAUGAUAAUGACAUAGUCCGCUCAUGUGUCUUGGCUAAAUUACGUGCCAGCAGCCGCGGUAAUACGUAAAAGACUAGUGUUAUUCAUCUUUAAUGGGUUUAAAGGGUACUUAGACGGUAAAUAAAGCCCUAUAGGGUACUAAUUUGCUAGAGUUACUUACGCGGGGGUUCUAAAGUACUAAUGGUGGAGAGAUGAAAUUUUGUCAUACCAUUUUUCGAAAGAAAAGUUUUGGCACAGGUAAAGGCGAAAGCAUCCCCUUAUGUGAUAACUGACGUUGAAAGACGAAGGCUUUGGAUCGCAAAUAGGAUUAGAUACCCUAGUAGUCAAAGCAGACAAUUAUGAGUGUCAUAGAUUAGAUAUAAAUUUUUAUUCUAUAAAUGAAAGUGUAAGCACUCCACCUCAAGAGUAAUUUGGCAACAUUGGAACUGAAAUCAUUAGACCGUUUCUGAAACCAGUAGUGAAGUAUGUUGUUUAAUUUGAUAAUCCGCAAAAAACCUUACCACAGUUUGAAUAUUUACAUUUAUGUAAGUACAAGCGUUGCACGGCUGUCUUCAGUUAAUGUCGUGAGACUUUGGUUAGAUCCAUUAAAUUAACGCAAGCCCUUACUUUAUUUUUAUAUAAAGUUGUUCCCCAUUACAUUGGAUAUGAUAACAGGGACUAAGACAAGUCAUCAUGGCCUUUAUGCUGUGGGCUAUAGACGUGCCACAUAGACCUUUACAAAAGGAUGUGAAAUUGUGAAAUUGAACUAAUCCCCCAAAACUGGAUAUAAUCUUAAU
rnacentral:rRNA from 1 species